AACUUCUCUUCCUGCCUGAGUCAGGCUCCACUCUGUGAGGAAGUCCGGCUGAUUCACCUCCAAAGUGCAGGGGUCUGACCUCAGCACGUCUGCCUGCAGCUGCCACCCUCCCGCCUCUGGGGGUCAGAGCAGCUGCCUCCCCUGCCUCCACCCCCUCCAAUCUCCUCUUCCCUGGCAGCUCUCCGAAGCGAGUCCCAGCGGAACCUGCUGGGCCUGGACCCUGCCAAGCAUGGUCCCCUCAGACACUGCCCUCUGAGGACCCUCAGUGGCUCUGAGCGCCCCUCCCUGCCCAGCCUCAGGGACUCAGGGUCUCCCUCCCCACCCUGUAGGUCACCCCCACCUCGCUGUGCUCACUGUCACUUCCUCACAGGUCCUGCCUCGUCGUCCUUCAUGUUGCAUCACAACUGACACUGGGUCCACCUCCUGGUGGAUUUGUCUUCCCCCUAGACUCACAGCUCCAUGAAGGCCAGGGCCCACUUACGGCCAUGUCUGCUGUGCCUGCGUAGAGCCUGCCACCCAGAACUAUGCAUGAGUGCGUGGGUGGGAGCUGUGGUCAGCAGGGGCUGGACGCACAGUCAGAGGGCAGGACUGGUGCCCUGGUGAGCAGGUCUCAAGCUCCUGGUGGGGGGCCCCGGAGCCCCAGGUUGACGGUGAAGUUCCAGUGAACAGGAACUGGAUUGAAGAGUCAGGGGAACCCACAGCAGAGGAGCAACCUGAGAACUUGUCCCAGAGGCUGGGAAGGGCUCGGGGGAGGCUGCCCCAGACCAGCCUUGACGGGAGGGCCCUCAACGCGAGGAGUGGGGGCCCCAGCGGAAAAGGCAGGGAGCACAAAGCCUGCACGGCUCCGAGGGCAGCCGUCCGCCGGGCCCAGCCCUGCCUGUUGAGGACGCUCCAGCUGCUGAGCUUCUGGUCUGCGCUGCAGAGCCACCUAGGCUCUGGGCUCCAGGGCGCAGGAGGAAGACCUCAAGCUGGAGCCCAGCUCAGCCCAGGCCUACAGGAACCGGAAUGGGAAUGGAGGGAGGCGCACAUACUCAUAAUGGCCUGCUGAGCAGCUGGGGGAAGUCCUGUGCACGCCCUCCUCCAGCACAAUCCUGGCGCACGGCUGCCACCACUCUCGGCCAGAAAUCUCUACCCACUCCCCUUCCCUGUUUGGCCUGUCAAGACCCCUUCUAAGACUUUUCUUAAAGACUAUUUUUGUAAC
rnacentral:lncRNA from 1 species